CUACGGGGGGCACCAGUGGGGAAUAUUGCACAAUGGAGGAAACUCUGAUGCAGCAACGCCGCGUGGAGGAUGACACUUUUCGGAGCGUAAACUCCUUUUAUAUAGGAAGAAGAUGACGGUACUAUAUGAAUAAGCGCCGGCUAACUCCGUGCCAGCAGCCGCGGUAAUAAGGAGGGCGCAAGCGUUACUCGGAAUCACUGGGCGUAAAGAGCGUGUAGGCGGAUUAAAAAGUCAGAAGUGAAAUCCUAUAGCUUAACUAUAGAACUGCUUCUGAAACUCUUAAUCUAGAAUAUUGGAGAGGUAGAUGGAAUUUCUGGUGUAGGGGUAAAAUCCGUAGAGAUCAGAAGGAAUACCGAUUGCGAAGGCGAUCUACUAGAACAUUAUUGACGCUGAGACGCGAAAGCGUGGGGAGCAAACAGGAUUAGAUACCCGAGUAGUC
rnacentral:rRNA from 1 species